rnacentral:rRNA from 1 species
CAGUCGCCGCGGGAACACGUAGGUGGCAAGCGUUGUCCGGAAUUAUUGGGCGUAAAGGGCUCGCAGGCGGUUUCUUAAGUCUGAUGUGAAAGCCCCCGGCUCAACCGGGGAGGGUCAUUGGAAACUGGGAAACUUGAGUGCAGAAGAGGAGAGUGGAAUUCCACGUGUAGCGGUGAAAUGCGUAGAGAUGUGGAGGAACACCAGUGGCGAAGGCGACUCUCUGGUCUGUAACUGACGCUGAGGAGCGAAAGCGUGGGGAGCGAACAGGAUUAGAGACCCGCGUAGUCCCUGUCUCUUAUAC